rnacentral:lncRNA from 1 species
UAAUGCGUAAAUAGAAUCCUUUAUGCAUACGCAGAAAGGUGAUUUAUGUAUUUCAUAUUUUAUGAAAAACAUUGAUAUGAGUUGUACCUAGAACGGUACAAGACGAUAUCAGUGCAAGCCCAGGAUCAGAACCAUGGCAACUGUCAAAUGAGUCCUUGAGUAUUUAAGAAAUACUAAAGGAUAGAUUCCUCAAAGAAUGAGGAAGAAUUAGAGUAAUGUAAUGGAAGCGUAAAUGUAUUAGAUUAUGAAUCUAAUGAAGGGAAAAUUAUGAGAUUCUAGCAUGGGAUUUCAUAAUGACUAUCAUGCAUAUCCAAAACCAAUUUAAUAUACGAAAGCAGCGGAAGCAUUUAAAACAUAUUAUCAAAGCUAUAGUCAUGCAAAUCCCCUUCAAGGUUCAUAAGUUUAUAUAUAAUGCAUCAAAACAAUUUAAAGAAUCAAGAACAAAGUGAAGGUUAGUCUUAUACCUCUUGAUCUAGACUUGAGACCAAGGAUGGACCACCUCCAAGCCCUUUGCUCCUUGAAAUCCUUGAGCCUAGCUUCCCUCCUUGCCUCCUCCACUUUGAUAGAAUGAGUGCUCCUAGGUUCUCUUCAAGUUCCCAAAGUAGGAAACCUCUAAAGAUCCUCACCCACUAGUGUAGUGAGAAGGAUGAAGGAAUAACCAAAAGGGUGUAAGAGAUGUUAGUAAAAACCCCCUUUGGUGGCCGGCCUUUGUGGUUCAAGAUGGCUAUUUUCUUUUGCCUCUUUUGU